rnacentral:lncRNA from 1 species
CUUCUUCAGAGGAUCUUCUAGACACAGGGAUGAAACCUGCAUUUCCUGCAUUGACAAGUGGAUUCCUUACCACUGAGCCACCAGGGAAACCCGGAGAGUUAAUACAUAUUCACUCUGAACAAAAUUUUAACAAGUGUCAGAGCAUUGAGGGCAGAAAGAAGAAAAGUACUUGAGAAUGCACACGUUUUUGUUUUGUUUUUCAUUAUCUCCUAUUAAGAACAAAAUAAUUUAACUGAUGCAUUAAUUUAUACUCUAACACCAUUCAGUUCAGUUUAGUUCAGUUGCUCAGUCGUGUCCGACUCUUUGCGACCCCAUGAAUCGCAGCACGCCAGGCCUCCCUGUCCAUCACCAUCUCCCGGAGUUCACUCACACUCACCUCCAUUGAGUCCGUGAUGCCAUCCAGCCAUCUCAUCCUCGGUCGUCCCCUUCUCCUCCUGCCCCCAAUCCCUCCCAGCAUCACAGUCUUUUCCAAUGAGUCAACUCUUUGCAUGAGGUGGCCAAAGUACUGGAGCUUCAGCUUUAGCAUCAUUCCUUCCAAAGAAAUCCCAGGGCUGAUCUCAUUCAGAAUGGACUGGUUGGAUCUCCUUGCAGUCCAAGGGACCCUCAAGAGUCUUCUCCAACACCACAGUUCAAAAGCAUCAAUUCUUCGGCGCUCAGCUUUCUUCACAGUCCAACUCUCACAUCCAUACAUGACCACAGGAAAAACCAUAGCCUUGACUAGACGGACCUUAGUCGGCAAAGUAAUGUCUCUGCUUUUGAAUAUGCUAUCUAGGUUGGUCAUAACUUUUCUUCCAAGGAGUAAGCGUCUUUUAAUUUCAUGGCUGCAGUCACCAUCUGCAGUGAUUUUGGACCACUUCCAAUUUGCCUUGAUUCAUGGACCUAACAUUCCAGGUUCCUAUGCAAUAUUGCUUUUUACAGCAUCGGAUCUUGCUUCUAUCACUAGUCACAUCCACAAAUGGGUAUUGUUUUGCUUUGACUCUCUCCCUUCAUUCUUUCUGGAGUUACUUCUCCACUCAUCUCCAGUAUCAUAUUGUGCACCUACCAACCAUGGGAGUUCAUCUUUCAGUGUCCUAUCUUUUUGCUUUUUCAUACUGUUCAUGGGGUUCUCAAGGUAA